rnacentral:rRNA from 1 species
UCUCCGCCAGAGAACUACAAGUGAAAAACUUGAAACUCAAAGGACUUGACGGUGUCCCAUAUCGGCCUAGAGGAGCCUGUCCUAUAAUCGAUACUCCACGUUCUACCUAACCCUAACUAGCACAAUAUCAGCCUAUAUACCGCCGUCGACAGCCUACCCUAUGAAGGUCUAACAGUAGACACAAUAACCCAACCGCUAGUACGUCAGGUCAAGGUGUAGCAAAUGCUAGGGAAGAGAUUGGCUACAUUUUUUAUAAUAAAAAACACGAAAAGUACUAUGAAACCGUACAUGAAGGUGGAUUUAGUAGUAAAAUAGAUAAGAGUAUCUAUUUUAACAACGCUCUGGGACGCGUACACACCGCCC